AAUCAAUGGACCACGGACUUUACAAGUAGUAACAAACCUAAUGACAGACAAUCGUAUAUUUAAAUUGAAUCUCAUUGGAAAUGGGCUGGACUCCGACCUAAUGGGCGUUCCUGAUGCUCGUGAUGCAGACAAAGAAGCCACUAUCAGAAAAGAAUGUCCGGACUGAAAGGGCAACAGAACUUACCAAUUUUUCAUAGAUAGCUACAAAUUGUCACUGUCACUCAACAAGCUUCUGGAUAUGAAAUUAAUUAAAAUAUAGUGUAAAUUUUAUUUUUUAAAUAUUUUCCUCUGUAAAAAUCUCAAAAAUAAUUUUAGCAAUAUGUAUGUUCAUUAAUAUCGUAUUAUUACUGCUAAUGUUUAUCUUAUUAUUAAAGUAACCCGUUUGUUGUAAAGAAUAUAGACAUAUAGGCCUAUGUAAGAUAAUAAGAUAUAACAUUUUGAAGAUUAAAAUCAGGUCUUUUGAUUUUUGCUUUUUGAUAUAGACCUACAGUAUAUAAAUAUAAAAUGUAUACAUAUAUCCCAACUUGAUUUCUAUGCUUGAAAAUAAAUAUCAAAUGGAA